CUGUCCACCCUAAUUCCUGCCGGUCCGGCCGUACCUGCCAGGUUUCGCUGGUGGACCAGAGCAUCUCAGAAACCCGCUUUGGCAGCUGCGGGGCGCCUGCCGUGGGCUCGCAGCCAGCCGGGGUCUCGAAACACAU